AGGGCAAUAGCUCAAUUGGUAGAGCACUGGUCUCCAAAACCAGCGGUUGUGGGUUCGAGUCCCUCUUGCCCUG
rnacentral:tRNA from 4 species